UGGCGGACAAGGUGCGAAAGAAAAUUAUCAGUUCGCGGUAAAAUCGAUAAUUAAAUGCAAGGAUGGUGCUUGCAGUGGUUUAAGGAAAUAUUGCUAAUGUCGGGUUCAACGCUUAUGGCUAGCAGCUCAACUAACGCUGACAGAUACGAAAUUACUUGUCCGACAUGUGAUUUUACGUCGUCGGUACCGAACGGAUCUCAUAGAACAAUUUGUCCUAAGUGUGGUGGAUUUUACAGCCGCGAGGCAGCAGAGAAAAGAGAGCCUCGGAGACUUCCAAUGAGAAAUGAACCAAAGGAGAAAAGAUCUAAUGGAAGAAGGGGACUGAACUCUAUAGCUAAUUUCUUUAACAAUCUCACACCUAAUAACUCAAAUAAAUCCAAGAAAAAAGGAUUAAAUAAUGUUGUUUCUACCCAAAGCUCAGAGAGUAGUAGCUCCUCGGACAUUUCUAACACAGAGUUACCUCCCAUUAAUAACAAAUCAAGGCUAACAGUGCAGAAUGCUAGAUCAGGGAGCACAACUCCGUCAUAUGGGCUAGACUCACGAGCAUCUAGUAGAAAUACAGUGAUUUCAACAAGUUCAAAAGCUUCAAAGACAUCUAAAGGAACCUCAGUUUCCAGACAGGAUAUUCAUUUGAAUAUAUCUAGUAAGCCAAAGAGUUCGGAUAAUGCUGGUGCGGGCGUCAGCAGUACAUCUCAGAACCAGGCAGACAGAGUUAUCUAUCCUGUCAGGACGAAAACAUCAGAUCAGUUAAGGGAAGAUGUGCGCUCGGCGAGAGAGACGGGUAACUGGAAAAGUGUUCAGGAGUUCUACUCCACCACAUUUGAUUCAUUUCUGGAAAUAAAUGCUGCAUUUAAGAGAGAUCCAAACAAAGAUUACAAGGGCACUGAAGAUCCUGGUUUGAAGUUUGACUUCAUCAACACUGUAUAUGACUUGAUACUAGGACUGCCACCAGAAAUACAGAAAAUUGUUUUGAAAAGUAUUAUCAAUAGUUUGCUGAAAGACAAGAAGAAUAACCAUAUGCAAUGGCCACAUUCCAAAGAUGAUCUGAGGGCAUACCUAGUCUUGUUACAGAAUCCCCAGUUUGGGAGCUCGUCAACGUAUGUGAUAUUUGCGCACUUGUUGCGACAGAUAGCUGCGCUAACAGACCAUGAUCAUCACUAUCUAGUCUAUUGGAUGAGAAAGUUGUCAGGGGACAGGUUACAAGCAUUGUUGGAAAGACUGAACUCAUUCAUAUCUAUACGUUUGUUCCCUCCGAAACCACAAGAUCUACCACCAAUGGUGAAAUGUAGUUGGUGGAUACCGAGUGGUACCAAAGUUAUGGCAUUAUUAAAUGCUGCCAACAAUUUGUGCCAACCACCCUUAGUGUCACACAUGGAGUUUUACAAUAUGGCCUUGGAUAACCUUGACCUUAUGCAGGAGUAUCUAGCAUGGCAAGAUCCAAACUCUAGUGGAGGAUUUUCAUUUUGUCAGUAUCCAUUUAUCCUCAGUAUUACAGCAAAGAGAACAAUAUUACAACGAGACUCGGAGCAACAGAUGAUUCUCAUGGCCAGGAGAAGCCUGGUUGCGAAGGUGCAGAGGCGCCAGUUGCCAGAUGUUGGAAUGCUGUUCUUUAACCUGACUGUUCGGCGGGAAAAUCUGGUUUCUGACUCCUUAAAUGAGAUUGCGAAGAAACAGCAUGACUUGAAGAAGAAGUUGAAGGUCACUUUUGCUGGGGAACCAGGCUUAGAUAUGGGUGGCCUUACCAAGGAAUGGUUCCUGCUUCUUAUUAAGAAGAUAUUUAAUGAAAACUAUGGUAUGUUUACAUACAAUAAAGUGGCAGGAUGUUAUUGGUUUUCUACAAUGCACCGUGAAGAUUAUCAGGAGUUCAAUCUAGUCGGAGUUUUAAUGGGAUUAGCAGUUUAUAACAGUAUUAAUUUGGAUCUGAGAUUCCCACCAUGUUGCUACAAGAAGUUACUGAGUCCCCCUGUGGUGCCCUUCAACAAUCCACGAGCACAAGUUGGUGUCGCUAGUCUUACAUUGAAGGAUCUCAAAAGAGUUCAGCCAGAAGUUGCAAAAGGUCUACAAGAUCUGCUAGAUUAUACAGGGGAUGUGGAAGAAGAUUUCUGUAUGAGCUUUCAGAUGUCUCAGGAUCACUAUGGCCAUACAAAGACUUUUGAUCUGAAGCCAGAUGGUGCUAAUAUACCAGUCACUAGUGAAAACAGAAAAGAAUAUGUAGAUCUGUAUGUAGACUGGGUGUUGAACAAGUCUGUUUAUAACCAGUUUAAAGCAUUUUACCACGGUUUUCAUAUGGUGUGUGCAUCAAAUGCUCUCAUUAUGUUGCGGCCGGAGGAGAUAGAGAUGCUGGUAUGUGGAAAUCCAAAAUUGGACAUGAAAGAUCUGAAGAAAGUUACAGUUUACGAUGGCUACCAUAAUCUGGAUCCCACUAUCAAGUAUUUCUGGGAUGUUGUAUUGAGUCUGCCGAUCCAGUUACAGAAGUUGUUCCUGCUUUUCACGACAGGAAGUGAUCGUAUCCCUAUAGGAGGAAUGGCCGAGAUGACUUUUAAAAUCUCUCGGACUGAAGAUACUGAUUUGUUACCGAUGGCUCAUACGUGUUUCAACCAACUAGUUUUGCCUGCAUAUAAAAGCAAGAAACAACUGAGAAAUAAAAUUAUCUUGGCCAUACAGAAUGCAGAGGGCUUCGGACUGGAGUAGUUAAAAAACAUAGUACUUUUAUCUUAUUAAGGAACACAGAAAUCCAGAUUUAAAGCUGGCACGAUUCAUGUGGUGCACAAACUUUGUCUCGUCAAUGCAUAAUCACUGUGAUGAAGCACUUAAUUUCAUAUUGCUGUCCAGAACACACACUGAUACAGGCUGGAAUUACCGUAUUCAAAUUUUGUACAGUUAUUUACAGGAGAUUGGAAGGACCUGUCCUGAAGAAUCAACGCUGUAAUGAUUUACGUUUUUUGAAAUACAUAUCCAGACUAUAUUAAUGGUUGCACAGGUCACAUUUCACAUAGUUCAGACAUGCUUUAUACACUUUUUUUCUGGCUAUACAAAGAAGUAGACAGAUUUACAAACCAAUAUCCAUUUGUCUAGACUAGAAUUGAUCCGCAAAUUGAUGAAAUGUUACCCAUAUCACAGAAAAGUGAAAUAAUUUACAUGAGCUUUGAAAAUAAACCAUUGCAAAUAUCACCCAACCUGCAAUACUGGUACACAGAUUAAGUUAGGUGAAUUCCAUGACAUAAUUAAAUUUCUGUUGAAAAUAUGAUAUUCAUUUCAAUAAAUUAUCAUUUUUGGAUGAAAAACUAUGAGAAAGUCAUGUCUUAACUUCAGCAUAACUAUGUAUUAAAAUGAUAAAAAAAAGUAUAUUCAUACAAUGCAAGUUAAACAGACUUGGUCAAACAGUUUGUUUUCAUUUUGCUUGGUUGUGUUGUGUUUCUGAAGGAUCUUCUAAUAGAUUUUGUUUUAAUCUGGAUCAUGUCCCUGUGUAAAAUAAAUUUGAGUUACUGGUAUAGUUUCAACAGCAAGAUUCAACAACAUGAACUAAAGUUUUGAAAUUUUCAUUCCUGUUUUAAGUUUGUAAUUAUAUAUUUAUUGGUAUUUGCAUUUACUGAAUACAAUGUAUUAAGUUUGAAUUGUAUUAAGCAGGUAAAAAGUAUAGAUUACAACUGCUUUGGCAUUUAAAUUGUUGCUUCUCAUAUUUAAUAUGUCAAACUGUAUUAGUUGUUACACACAGAAACAGUUUCACAAAUGAGUGUCCACAGCAUUUUACUGUGAUUUUAUAUGAAUUCUAUUAACCCUUACCAUGCUAAAUUUCUGUAAUGGACUGGUCCAUCUUCCAAUUUAGGCAGUACCAUUUAUAAUUUAAGGGAUGUUUACUGAUUAUUUACUAACUGAAUAGUGAACAGUGCAGACCAUGAUCAGACUGCACGGAUGUGCAGGCUGAUCUUGGUCUACACUGGUCACAAGGGCAGAAUCAGUCGUGUCCAGCAUGGUAAGGGUUAAAAAUGUUGCCAUUUAUGCUGUAAGGAGAUUUACAAAAUUACUGUAUAUUAAACAAAAUUGUUCACUUUAUAUGAAAAAUGUUACUGUUGAAGAAUGUACAUCUUGUAAGUGAAGUUGAUCUACACAGUUGCAUUUAUUAAACUACCGGUAAUCUUUUUAUAUGUUAUAUAUUAUUACGAUUGCUUGUUACUGGAUAAAGAGUAUAAGAAUCACUGAUAAAAGGUGCGGAUGGAAAUAUCUGGCUUGAGGGUAGCUAUUUCGGCAGUAACGAGACUGCCGAGUUUAUGCAAAAACAGCUAACCCUAAGAGCCAGAUAUUUCCAUCUGCACUUUCUCUUUUUCUUGCAUACCGUAUUCUUUAAAUAAUAGGAAAAAAAUCUGCUUCUCUUUAAGUACUAUUUUAUUACAAGAGCAUAUGAAUUUACACAUUUCUUAAAAAAAUCAUGGCACCCAGGGGUGUAAGAUGAGUUUUUCCAGCACCAGUAAAACAGAUGGGAAAAUUCUGUAUAGCAUAAAUAUUUAUUGUAGAAUCUCUUUUAAAUCUUUGCAGCAUGAAUUAUGUUUUUAAUGAAAAAAUCAAGGUCCUGUAUACUACCAUUUACAUGAUAUAUAUUCUAGCAUAUUCUACCUUGAGAAAUCAAUGGCUGUAUUGUGUGGUGCAUUAUGGGAAAAAAAAAUCUGUAUUGCCCUUUUGUUACAGACAUGUCAAAUAAUAUGCAUGCUUGUAUAAUAAUGCACAGACUCAAAUGACAGUCAUAGAGCAUAGUAAUAAAACUUUCCAUACUUGUUUAGGCGACAAAUUUUGUAAAAUUUUCUGAUCAUGUUUAAGCUUGUCCAUGACACGUCAAUAGGGAAUGUCUUCACACUUAUAUAUAUACAUGUAUAUAUAUAUACAUAUGUAUGGGUAAAAAAAUCUCAACUUUAAAAAUGAAUGUUUUCUUUAUUUCUGAAGGACUAAUGAAUAUCUGCUUUGAAGUUUGAACAGUAUUGAUAAUUAAGAUAGUCUAUACCUGUACAAAAUUGAAUAGGACAAAAGCAUGAAACCCAUGCCAUUAACAGAAAAAGUGUACUAUAAAUAUUUAUUGGCAUGCCAUUACUAGAAACAUGCAUUAUUGUGUUAAGGUAUAUAUAAUAAAACAGUCAUUGCCUGCCUCUGUAUACCCAUAUUGGAACCGUGGGAUAUGCUAUUGUGCCGAUAUAGGUGAAACUCACAGUGAAAAUAACUGCUUAAGGCUGGCUGUUGCGAUGAAGGAAGCUUAUAUUACUAUUUAUUCCGUCCAUAUUUAAAGUUAGUAAUUACAGAUAUUCAAGGAUAAUUGAAGAGUAUUAUUUUCUUUGGUGCAUGAUUUUGUACGAUAUUGCUUUUUGUGAUGUUUGUGUUCUCUUAAUCUUCAUGUUCUCAGCCCUAAUAUUCUUACCAAUGUGGAAAUGUGAGUCGUAUAUCCGAAUAUAUUUUUAGCAACUUUUCACUGAGAGCUCAUUUAGCAUGUCUGCUUUGAUAUGUACAGUUCCCUUUUCAGCUGCUAGACGUUUUAAGGCAGUCAUUUUAAUUUUGUUUGUUCAAGCUGAUGUUUUUCUUUCUAUUCUUUGGCCAGAAUACUCUAAAGUCGGCUUUUUUUGCUCAAUUUAAUGCUUGCACCAGUUCAUUAGAAAAUGUACCUUAUUGUGAAAGUGGUGUUACGUCAAUGAGAAAUGCUUUUAGAUGCAUCUCUUGUGUAGUUUUGAUAAAAAAUAAUUAAAGUGAAAAAAGCUGUGUUUGCAAUGAUUCUGUUAAACACUUUUUUCUUCUCAUGAUAAACUCAUACACAUAAAAAGGGGCCAGUAGACAUAAUUACUGUGUUAUUAGUGUAGUUUUUAGGUGUGUAAACUAGAAAAAAAACUGGUCAAUCCAAUCACAGUGGAAAUAAAUAAAAGUUUUCUUUUUGUGAGCAGAAAACGAGUAAGAUAUCCUUGAGCACCGUCAGGUGUAUGAAGAGUUCAAAUAUUUUAUGCUGCUUUACAAAAAAAAAAAAAAAAAGACAAAAUGGAAAAUAUUUGAGGACCAAAUUUCUGCUACACACUUUGCCAGCAUUGUGAGGAACAAAAGAACACUUUGUGUAACAGGAAGUAAUACUCACAGAUUUAAGUUAUCCAUUCUGAAAUUAUCUUAGCAUCUGGGAAAAAUCUUUGCAACAGGCUUUUCUUAUAUGUACAUAUCAAGUUUAUUUUUAUUUUCCCAAAAAUCGAAGAAGUGGCAAAGAAAAGAUUACAUUUUUUCAUUGGAAUACAUUAAUUUUAUUAUUACCAUAGAUUUUAUUUGCUAUUUAUUUCACCAGAUAGUUGUUAUAUUUAUUUUUAGCAUAUGUAUGUUCAAUUUGUAACUGUUUCAUAAUAUAUAAUUGGAAUGGCAAAGGAGAACUGUUAGAUAAUGCUAAAUAAUAGCUAUAUUUAGACAGAAUAAGAAUCUGCUACAACUGUAUACAUCAGAUUAUACUUUUUUUUGUUUUUAUUUCGAAGCAGGUCUUCAUUUUUAUUAGUGGGUUAUUAUUUCUGUGAUCUUGUAGUUAUAUUUUGUUGAUAUUUUAGUUUAUGUUUUAUUCAUCUGCCAUUCAGCUUAUCCCUUUAUUGAUUUGUUUAUAUUUAAUGACAUUGAAAAUAAAUGAAAUUGUUGCGUUUUUCCUCAAGGUAACUCUCGACUCUUGAGAAUAUCAUUACUCUUUGGGGGACUACUAUAAAAUCAGAAGUCUUCUAGAUAAAUAUUUGCUCUGUUUACUAACUAAAGAAGUAAAUACUUACUUGUUAAUAAUAUUUUUAUAAUACACUUUAGAUACUGGUAUGUUGAAGAUGGCCAUAUACCUCAAAUUUUCUACCAUACUAACUAAUUUGAAUUUCAAAUAUUGCCAACUUUUAGCCUUGUAAAAUUAUAUGAUUUUAAAGUGUUUUGUGGUGGCACCAAUCCAUGAUAUUACAAAACCUUAACAGUCAAACAGACAAAAAUAAUAAAAUUAACAUUUAGUUUAUUCUGAAGAUUUAAAAUACACAAAAUAAUGUCCUCAUGGAAUAGCUGACAGCAGUUAAAAAUUUUGCCAAAUCUAAAUUACGCCCAUGAAAUUGAGUAAGCAUUAUUUAACAAAUUGUCAAAUGAACAAUAUAAAUAAUUAUAUAUUUAGUUACAGAAAGAAUUUUUCUCCAGGUAAAUGGUAUAAAAUUGACUAGUCAACCCUUAAUUUCUGAACUAUCCAUGUUUCAGUUUGAUUUUCGUUUUUAUAUUGUGGCAUUUUUUUGUCUUUCAGUGAUGUUUCUGUUGUGUGUGAUAAACAUGCAUUGGAUUUUCAGAUAUGUUGUUAAAAUGUAACAUUAAAUUUCUGAUGAAUGAAUGAAAUUUUAAGUUAGAUAUAACUGUUGUAUUAGUACUCAAAUAUAUUUUUUUUGAGAAAAAAAGAUUUAUAAAAGUGUAUGUUUGUUGAGAGACUAGUAUUUUAUUUUAAAGGUAUUGUACCUAUGCAGUUACAGUACCAAGACUGAUACUUACAUAUUUUUAAUGGGUGCUUUCACUUGGUGUGGUCUACAUUUAUGCCAAGUAAUAUGCAAAUAAAAAAAAACUUGAGGUAUCUAAUCAAAUCCACCGUUCAUAUUUACUGGUGCCCAUGUACUUCUUAGCUUCAUUAAAAUAAAUUUCAGGUACCAAUAACAGUCUAUAGUUUAAUGUAUGCAAUGGUGUGAUUUGUACCUGAAUAGUUCAUUUAAAUUUCAGUUGUCAUAGACCACGCAAGUCCCAAGUGAAAACACCUGUUUUGUUGUACCAAACAGACGUUAAUGUUAUAUGACUGUGAUAACUUGUUUUGCAUCUUUUUCAUGAAUAGUAUAAGUAUGUAUUCUAUAUAUUGUAACAUACUCAAGAAAACAUUAAACAUGUGCGAAAACUUGAGCUAUAAUGGGAAAAAUUUUCAGAAAAUGAAAAAUAUAAAAUGUUAUCGUCA
rnacentral:misc_RNA from 1 species